AAACUUAAACUACACUCAGCAAAAAUACUAAGAAAGAAGGGCAUUGCAUCUAGUAUGCCUUGAACUAGUUAUUAUAGACUAGCAAAAUAGAUUGUGCAAACUACUAGGAUUUAAGCAAUCCAACCGGUCCCAAUGAGUGUCCGCAUCCAAUUUGAUCCACUCCCCCCAGGCUGAGAACAAGAGAUCUUUGGAGGACCUCAUGAGAAAAGCAGGAGGUACCCAUAAAACAACAAUGAAGAUCCAGUUGGCAUCAAUGUGUUC
rnacentral:misc_RNA from 1 species